UGAGUAAAUCCAAAAGAUUGUUUAUACGAUUAUCUACGAGAAAUGAGUUGUAAAGAACUUGAGCCGUUUCGGGGUGCGACGAUUUAGUAUUGCAGAAUUCUUGGAUGACAAGGAUAAAUACUCGUAAGCUCAUAAUCACAAGUUUUUCAAAAUUUUUUGAGCUCUCUUCAAACUUUUCUUUGUAUGAAGAAAGAUGAGAACUGAUUUGACCCAAAAAAUCAUAGUGCAAUGAAAUGUAAUCAAUAGUAGCUGGAAACUUAGUCAAGCAUGGACUAUAGAAAGAAAAAUCAAAGAAUGGCUUAUUGAAUAAGAAAGCAUGUGCAAAAGCCAUUUCUAAGCACUCCCCAACUACUAUCGGAGACCGCGAGGAUUGAAGCAUUGUACCAAGCAUACUCAAAAGUUUUCGCUGAUGAACAGCACAAAAAGCUAACAUACGCUCACUAAAUUCACUUUCACUAGGAUUUUGGAAACCAAAAACAACCAACCGUCUACAUGCCUUAAGCGUGUAUCGAGAUAUUUGCAUAUAAGACAACAAAGUAGAAUC